GAGCCGGGGAGGAGGGAGCGAGCGAGCGGUGGAGGGAGGGGAGACCAACUUCUAGCGCUACCAUAAUUCGCCUAAAGCAGGUGCAGCCGCUUUCACCCAGCCAGGCCGCCGCGGCGAGCGAGAGAAAACCACGUGGGCCGAACUUUAGGGGAAGGAAAGUGGGGACUUGGGGAGAAGACACGGGGCUGCGGACCUGAGAAAGGCGGGAGGUGGAGAGACCCCAGGGAUUCUCCCUGCCCUCGCGAAUCCUGUGGCGCGCUUUGCAAACCCCAGCUUUUCCCUGGAGUCUGGAGGUUACCGGUUAUCUCCAGGCCAGCUCGGUUUCCAGCACCCCGUGAGUCAGAGUGGGGGGCACAAGGGCGGCAAAAGACCCUGUCUUAGCCUCACCUAAAGGGCAUUUUGCUGAAGAGAACAAGGCCUCACCAAAGAAAGGUCAUUCCGGACUCCUGAUGCCCGCCAGUCCCUUGGUGAGACGUGAGCGCCAUUGGCGUCCGUGGCCUCUGUUUCCGUGGCAACCCAGUAACCAUUAAUUUUCAAUUAAAGGAGACAAAAAGCUCCAUGACAGCUCCAGGUCUGCUGAAGAUGUCAAGAAUCUGUAUUAAUAUACAGCAAGAGAGCAUAAUUGUGUGUCCAUCUUCCAGAGCAGCGAAAAAUGGAGGGAUAAUUACCAGCUCGAAAGCCACUCUGUAAUUUACUUCUUACUGUCACCACAGCCCUACACAUUAGCAUAAAUUAAAAGCAGAGUUUAUUGUUAUC